rnacentral:lncRNA from 1 species
CAAGUAUCUGCGAAGUUGAGGUCGGAUGGAGCGAGAACAGAAUCUUCUUCAACAGCCUUUCUUGGUUUGAGGUUCAAUCGCUCGCUCAGAGCCAUCACCUGCUAUCAGAGUAGACUGACGGUCUGUGUGGUACUUAAGGCCAAUUCCCCAAUGGGAAGCUGGGGGAACCCCUGCUCCAACACCUCUGCUGGUAACUGCUUCUGCGCUGCGGAUUCCCAGCGGCACACAUUAUUUUACGAGUUUCCACAUACUGCUGAUUCAUAG